rnacentral:rRNA from 1 species
AGCGAACGCUGGCGGCAGGCCUAACACAUGCAAGUCGAACGAACCCUUCGGGGUUAGUGGCGGGCGGGUGAGUAACACGUGGGAACGUGCCUUUAGGUUCGGAAUAACUCAGGGAAACUUGUGCUAAUACCGAAUGUGCCCUUCGGGGGAAAGAUUUAUCGCCUUUAGAGCGGCCCGCGUCUGAUUAGCUAGUUGGUGAGGUAAUGGCUCGCCAAGGCUACGAUCAGUAGCUGGUCUGAGAGGAUGACCAGCCACAUUGGGACUGAGACACGGCCCAAACUCCUACGGGAGGCAGCAGUGGGGAAUCUUGCGCAAUGGGCGAAAGCCUGACGCAGCCAUGCCGCGUGGAUGAUGAAGGUCUUAGGAUUGUAAAAUCCUUUCACCGGUGAAGAUAAUGACUGUAGCCGGAGAAGAAGCCCCGGCUAACUUCGUGCCAGCAGCCGCAGUAACAC